UUUUCAAACUUCUGUUAAUACUUUUACACUAAGAGAUUUGGGGUUCGAGUUCCAGCUAUUGCGAUUUAUUAGCAGAUUUGCAAAUUAAUGGAAGCAAAUAUGCAAGAGAUCUACAACGAAGAACAAUUAUAGUUGUUCGCCAAGAUUCUACGCAGAGAAGAUAUUGAAGGUGUCUAUUAAGCGCAUGGAGAAGGAGAAGAAGAUGUCGUCUGUCGUGGAUCUAAUAAGGGUCGAAAGGAAUUGUCCGUAAGGGAAUCGUCUAUAUAACAGUUCUCAUAAUUUAUAAUAAAUAAUAAAUUUAGACGGAAAAUUUUCUUUGGCUACGAUGCCACGUUUCUGGAAGGCAUUGCCGUUAAUUUUGUCUGAAUUAGUUGAUAAAGCAAUUA
rnacentral:sRNA from 1 species